GAUCUGGCUCAGGAUGAACGCUGGCGGCGUGCCUAACACAUGCAAGUCGAACGAGCGAGAGAUGAACCUAGUGAUUCUCGAGCGAGUGGCGGACGGGUGAGUAACGCGUGGGCAACCUGCCUUACAGAGGGGGAUAACAGUCUGAAAAGACUGCUAAUACCGCAUAAGCACACAGUACCGCAUGGUACAGGGUGAAAAGAUUUAUCACUGUAAGAUGGACCCGCGUCUGAUUAGCCAGUUGGCAGGGUAACGGCCUACCAAAGCGACGAUCAGUAGCCGACCUGAGAGGGUGAUCGGCCACAUUGGGACUGAGACACGGCCCAAACUCCUACGGGAGGCAGCAGUGGGGGAUAUUGCACAAUGGAGGAAACUCUGAUGCAGCCGACGCCGCGUGAGUGAAGAAGUAUUUCGGUAUGUAAAGCUCUAUCAGCAGGGAAGAUAAUGACAGUACCUGACCAAGAAGCCCCGGCUAACUACGUGCCAGCCGCGGC
rnacentral:rRNA from 1 species